CCCAAAUAUACUUCUCAAGGUAUCAAGUUGGUCUUCCUUUCUCCUCUCACGCUCUUCCUCCCUGGCGUCCAGCUCCCGCUGUCUUCUUUCCUGCCUCUCUGUAUACAGCUUCAGGUAUUCCACAACUUCAUUUUUUUCUUUUCUUUGGGGUAGUGGAGGGCUGUGAGGUGGAGGUGGAUGGCUGUGAGGUGGAGGUGGAUGGCUGUGAGGUGGAGGCUGGGAGGUGGAGGUGGAUGGCUGUGAGGUGGAGGCUUGGAGGUGGAGGUGGAUGGCUGUGAGGUGGAGGAGGUGUUGGGAGUGUCGCCAUCAUCCUCUGCAUCAUCCAGAUCCGAGUCCACCGCCGUAGAAAUUAUGUUUAGAGGCCUGGUGGAGUCCCUCUGCCCCAUUAUAUUGUGCAUUGCCUGGAAGUAAGGCCAGGUACCAGGUGUUGCCUUUCCACCCUCUGGCCCUUCUCCAGUCCUUGGUAGUAUCAGGUUCCGUGUAAAAAAAUUAAAGCUGUUUCACUUUCACACAAAUUAAGCUAACACAUAAACCUUUUGAUAGAUACAAGCAACUUGGAUAUGGCUAAAGGCACCAUCAGUCUUGAGCUAACAAAAGCUCACAAAAAAGACCAUGUGUUCCA
ensembl:lncRNA